rnacentral:rRNA from 1 species
CAUACGGAGGAAGGUGGGGAUGACGUCAAAUCCAUCAUGCCCCUUAUGUCCUGGGCUACACACGUGCUACAAUGGGCUGUACAAAGGGUAGCGAAGCCGCGAGGUGGAGCCAAUCCCAUAAAACAGCUCUCAGUUCAGAUCGCAGGCUGCAACUCGCCUGCGUGAAGAUGGAGUUGCUAGUAAUCGUGGAUCAGCAUGCCACGGUGAAUGCGUUCCCGGGCCUU